rnacentral:rRNA from 1 species
CCCUUAGAUGUUCGGAGCUGCACGCGCGCUACACUGACGGAGGCAGCGAGCAUGUCCUUCGCCGAGAGGUGUGGGGAAUCUUGUGAGUCUCCGUCGUGCUGGGGAUAGAUGGUUGCAAUUGUCGAUCUUGAACGAGGAAUUCCUAGUAAGCGCGAGUCAUCAGCUCGCGCUGAUUACGUCCCUGCCCUUUGUACACACCGCCCGUCGCUACUACCGAUUGGAUGGCUUAGCGAGAAUUUUGGAUCGGAGCCCGGGUGGUCGGCAACGGUCGCCCGGGAGAUCUGAGAAAUCAUUCCAGCUUGGUCAUCUAGAGGAAGUAAAAGUCGUAACA